GGGGGCAACCCCUUGAGAGUGGCGAACGGGUGAGUAAUAUAUCGGAACGUGCCCAGUCGUGGGGGAUAACGUAGUGAAAAUUACGCUAAUACCGCAUACGAUCUAAGGAUGAAAGCGGGGGAUCGCAAGACCUCGCGCGACUGGAGCGGCCGAUAUCAGAUUAGGUAGUUGGUGAGGUAAAGGCUCACCAAGCCAACGAUCUGUAGCUGGUCUGAGAGGACGACCAGCCACACUGGAACUGAGACACGGUCCAGACUCCUACGGGAGGCAGCAGUGGGGAAUUUUGGACAAUGGACGCAAGUCUGAUCCAGCCAUUCCGCGUGCAGGAUGAAGGCCCUCGGGUUGUAAACUGCUUUUGUACGGAACGAAAAGGUCUCUCCUAAUACGAGGGGCUCAUGACGGUACCGUAAGAAUAAGCACCGGCUAACUACGUGCCAGCAGCCGCGGUAAUACGUAGGGUGCAAGCGUUAAUCGGAAUUACUGGGCGUAAAGCGUGCGCAGGCGGUUAUGUAA
rnacentral:rRNA from 1 species